GGUCAUACCCAUGGCAUAUGGAAGUUCCCAGGCUAGGGUUGAAUCAGAGCUACAGCUGCCAGCCUGCACCACAACCCCAGCAACAUGGAAUCUGAGCUGCAUCUGCAACCUAUACCACAGCUAAGGGCAAUGCUGGAACCCCGACCCACUCAGUGAGGCCAGGGAUCAAACCUGCACCCUCAUGGAUAUGAGUUGGAUUCUUUUCCGCUGCACCACAAUGGGAACUCCCAGUAUAUAAUAUAUAAUAUUUCAAACAUUUUUCUAUGGUUGUACUUUUAUUUCCAAUUUCUCACUGUUUUAAUACCACCACAAAUACCCGUGUGUAUAAGUCUUUGACAUGUCUGUUUACUUCCCUAGGAUGAAAUUCUCCAAAGUAGUAUGACUAGGUCAAGGAGCAUUAAGCAGAAUUCUGAUUCAUAUUUUUGCUGGCAUUUCUUGAAGGGUAACAUUUCCCUAGAAUAUUUGCUAUAAGAAGUCAAAAGUGAGCCAUUAAUGAACAGACAACACUGAUACGAAAAAAGUAUUUCAAAGAAAUAAAAGUACACGACUUCUUGAAGCAUAAACCAUACCGAGGGGUUAACCAGUUUGUUUUUGCUGUUGUUUGUGUGUUUUACAAAUGAAAACCUAUUGCUAUGCCCUACUGCUAGAGUUAAUCUGCAAAUCCAGAAAUCUGGACUAAUGGGACACAGCAGCUUAGGAACACCCCUCACAGGACAACUGCAUCAUCAACACAACACCGUGUGAUGUACACAUUCCAAUUUCACUCUUAAAAACCUUCUGAGGUGGUUGCUUUGUGCAAUACCAUAAAAUGUUAAGUAGGCACAAGAAUAUGAAGACAUGAUCACAUGGAGCCAGGAGCCAGGUCUUGAUGCAGCUGAAGCCUUGAAGACAUAGUCUCACAGCCUUGCUGACAGGGAAAGAUGUGGUCCAUCUAAAGGAUCCACUGUGGCAGGGUGAAGUGCAGAAGAGCUUAACGUGCUACCACCCAGCCAUAUGUUCGCUGGAUUUACAAGUUGACGGGACCAUAAGUAGCCAUUGGGUUCAAAGAGCCCUCUCACGAGGAGUCCUAGAAACGACCAAUGCAGCUGCUAAAGCACAAAGCAGUUCCUGUUUCUUUCAAAAUGCCUACAACACAAUGGGCCAGGCAGGACUCAUUUGCUCCAAAGCACUGGAGGAAAUAAAAUCAUGUAAGACCAAGAACCUGGGAGAUUGGGGGGGGUGUAUCUUUAUUUUUUUAGGUUUGUUUUUAUUUGGUAUAUGUUGCCCAACAGUUCCAUGAUUGAAUCCUACUUCCCAUUUACUAUAAUAAAUCCAUAUUGGUUCAACUUCUGUCUUGAUUGUGUUGACAUUAUGGCACUAAAAAGAUGAUGAACAUGCUGAGAUAACACAGUCAUUAGCCCAGUUAAAUGCUAUGUUGUCUUACAAAACUCUUCACUGUGCUUUUACCACUCAUAAUAGUUUUGCAGAUUUGCCCACUGAGCCAUCCAACCAAUACUAAAACACAUCCUAUGGAAAAGCAAACUGGUGUCAUGUCACCUUAGCGGUGGUUCAAAAAGUAAGAAAACUGAACCAAGAAAUUAAAGCAGAAUGGCUAUGAGGUUAUUUCAAAUGUGGAAAAGGCUUAUAAACCAAAAUUCCAACUCCUGCUUUAAGAUUAUCGGGUCCCUUAGUAAGCUUAUGCAAUGAUGUGUUAAAUUGUUUGAGCACCAAGGAUGCAUGAAGAGAGUUUAUAAUGAGUUAGGCACAGCCCCAGAUACAACAGCAUUCUGAUGCUGAACAGAGAGAAAAAAAAUAUCCUUUACUGAAACUCAGGAAUUAAAAUAAACACAAGUGGCCAUUCUAACUGAAAAAACAGGAAAGUAUUUGUUUAUUUUUAAGCAUAUAAUUUAUUUACUUUAUUACUCUAACUUAUAUGCAAUAUCCUGACUGGGCAAGGUUAACAAAAAAAUUAUCCCUUAAGUGAUAUGCUUUAGUGAACAGAAAAGAAGUUUAAUCAUUGCCCUCCCCCCAUAAAUUUGUUUAUAAGCCUAACAACACACUUUCUUUAUAAGGAAGGAGGGUGAGAAAUCUAGCCAUGUGUCCAAAUGAUUCAAUCUGAAAUGAGUGAAAUCAGUAUCAAUAAUUCCAAGUGCCUCAAUCAAUAGUAUAGCAUACAACAAGAACAAGCUCCUGUGUGUAUGGUGUUCUCACUUUGACUGCGGAAGAAGGGUGGGCUAGUGAUGAUGGAGGUCGUGGAGAAGGCAGGCCAACAAAGGAAAGGAAGCAGUAGAAAGGGGAGAAUAAGAGGGAAAGGAUAUAUUUGCAGUCACAUGUCUCCAGGAAAGUAAUUCAAAUCUAGUAUUAAAGUAAGUGUCACAGAUUGACCAACCACAACUAUUGACCUUCUUUCUCCCAGGGUACUACAAAGAAAGGGGAAUUAAUGAAAUCAAGAUUCUUUACUGCUCACCUGCCAUAAACUUAAAGUGACUCUGGACAAAGCUGAGUUAGUACACCUCCAGCAUAGUGACUGUAAGCAUGGGCUCAAGACCUAGACGGCCUAGAUUAGAAUCCUGGCUCUGCCACUCCCCAGGAACAAAGUAUUUUACCUUUCUGUGCCUCAGGUUCUCACCUGAAAAAUAAUAGUACCUAUGUCAUAGGGUGGUUGAAAAGAUGUAAAUAGAGUUUUAUAAACAUAAUACACUUAAAACAGUAUCUGGCACAUAAUAAAAGCUAUAUGAGUGUUGGACAUUAUUAUGACGAUCUGUGUUGUCGCAUGCUCCAGCCUCUAAAAAAAAAAAAAAAUGUUGAUGAAAGUUUUUUCCUCUCAUAGCCUACAGAUUGUGAUCAUCAUUCAAUCCCUUCAAGCCUAAGGUUUCCCGAUCAAAAAUGUCAGUUGUUUGAGCUUCACGUUACUGGUAACAUGAUGGAUUUACUCAUUCCAGAGGAAAAUGUCCAUGUGAUAAUCUGGAUAUGAUUAAUAUGAAAUCAGUAUGUUAUCCUGUUACUAGUAGUUUCACUGAAACCCCUCGCUAUCCAUCCUAUUCAAACUAAAUCUCAUGCUAAGCUGUUUUAAAAAACAGCCUUACUGAGAUAUAAUUUACGUACCAUAAAGAUCACCUAUUUAACAUUUAAUUCAAUGUUCCUUCCCAUGUUUACAGCAUUGUGCAAUCUUCACCAUUAACUUAAUUUUAGAAUAUUUUCAUCCCUAAACAAAACCUUUUACCCGUUAAGCAAUUCCUUCCAAUUUACCCCCACCCCUAGGCAACCACUAAUUUACUGUCUUUAUGGAUCUGCCUAUUCUGGACAUUUAACUGGAAAUAUAUAAUAUGUGGCCUUUUGCAUCUGACUUCUUGCAUUUAGCAUGUUUUCAAGGUUCAUCCGUGUUGUAAUAAUGUGUCAGCACUUCACACCCUUUAUGGCUGAAUACUAGCCCAUUGUACACCAUACUUGUUUAUCUGUUCAUCUGCUGAUGGACAUCUGGGUUGUUUCCACCUUUUAAUGAUUGUGAAUAAUGCUGAAUGAACAUUGGUAUACAAGUAUCUGUUUGAGUCCCUGUUUUCAACUCCUUUUAGUAUAUACAUAGGAGAAGAAUUCCUGAGUCAUAUGGUAAUUCUAUAUUUAGCUUUGGAAGAAUUGCCUAUCUUCCUAAGGGAACUUCACCAUUUUACAAAUUCUACAGCAAUUUAUGAGAGUUCCAGUUUCUUCAUAUCCUCACAAUUCUUGCUAUUGUCUGUCUUUUUGAUACGCUGGCUUUUUUCUCCUUUUUAUCAUUUAUUUAUAUAUAUAUAUUUUUUCUACUAUACAGCAUGGUGACCCAUUACACUUACAUGUAUACAUUGUUUUUUCUUACAUUACAUGUGGGCAUAUAUCCAGAUAAAACUCUCCUUAAAAAAGACACAUGCACCCGCAUGUUCAUUGUUGCACUAUUCACAAUAGCCAAGACAUGGAAACAACCCAAAUGUCCAUUGAUAUAUGAUUGGAUCAGGAAGAUGUGGUAUACAUGCACAAUGGAAUACUACUCGGCCAUGAAAAAGAACAAAAUAAUGCCAUUUGCAGCAACAUGGAUGGAACUAGAUAUGCUGGCUUUUUACCUGGAAAAAUAAUUGUUUCUCUCCAAAAUCAGUGGUGCAUGCUCAUCUUAGUGUUACCCUUUCAUACUGAGCAUUUUAAAAAAAUCAAUAGACUUAAUUUUUUAGAACAGUUUAGAUUUAUAGAUAAAUUGAGCAGACAAUACAGAGACUGUCUUGUUUUGUUCUUUGACAAACAAGAUUUCAACCAAGGUCCUUAUUCCCUUUCAAGAUUGUUUCCUUGUACUCAAUGACUCUGAAAGAUUUCCCUUCUCAAUCUACCUUCAAAAGACACUGGCAGAUCAAUUUCAUAUCUGAUGUACCCCCUGAAAAGUUAUUUUUCAAUCAAAAAUUGCAAUUCAAAUAUACAACAGAAAGCUCUUACUUCAGGGAACUGUAUGGUGAAUAUUUUUGUGAAACACUGGUUUCUUCAUACAUAUGAAAUAAUCUCCUCCAUAUGUCACAUGGCAAGAGGUAGACCCUCACUUCCUCGCUAAAGCACAUUUACUGUAGCCUAUUCCACUCUAGAAAUGGGUUGAUUCUUAAUGAUA
rnacentral:lncRNA from 1 species